rnacentral:rRNA from 1 species
UACGUAGGGCGCAAGCGUUGUCCGGAAUUAUUGGGCGUAAAGAGCUCGUAGGCGGUCUGUCGCGUCUGUUGUGAAAACUCGAGGCUCAACCUCGGGCUUGCAGUGGAUACGGGCAGACUAGAGUGCGGUAGGGGAGACUGGAAUUCCUGGUGUAGCGGUGGAAUGCGCAGAUAUCAGGAGGAACACCGAUGGCGAAGGCAGGUCUCUGGGCCGCAACUGACGCUGAUGUGCGAAAGCUAGGGUAGCGAACGGG